GGUGUUGAUUGCGGUGAGGGUCCACCCGUUCCCAUUCCGAACACGGCAGUUAAGCUCAUCUGCGCCGAAAAUACUUGGCUGGCGACGGCCCGGGAAGAUAGGUAACGC
rnacentral:rRNA from 1 species